rnacentral:rRNA from 1 species
GAACGCUUCAUCGGUUUCGGCCGAUGGGGAGUGGCGCACGGGUGUAGUCGCGCGUGGGAACCUGCCCUGUUGUGGGGGAUCACCGAGGGAAACUUCGGCUAAUACCGCAUGCGCCCCGGGGCAACUCGGGGGAAAGAUUUAUCGCAGCAGGAGGGGCCCGCGUCGGAUUAGGUAGUUGGCGGGGUAACGGCCCACCAAGCCUUUGAUCCGUAGCUGGUCUGAGAGGAUGAUCAGCCACACUGGGUACUGAGACACGGCCCAUACUCCUACGGGAGGCAGCAGUGGGGAAUAUUGGACAAUGGGCGCAAGCCUGAUCCAGCCAUGCCGCGUGGGUGAUGAAGGCCCUAGGGUUGUAAAGCCCUUUCGGCGGGGAAGAUAAUGACGGUACCCGCAGAAGAAGCCCCGGCUAACUUCGUG